rnacentral:tRNA from 1 species
GCCUGGGUGGCUCAGUCGGUUGAGCGUCUGACUUAGGCUCAGGUCAUGACCUUACAGUUCGUGAGUUCGAGCCCCGCUUCAGGCU